GUUAUCCAACAUAAUCCCUCCUUGCUUUGUGCCAUUUGCAAAUAUACUAAGAAUGCAAAAAUGUUCAACAGAAGAGGGCUUACAACAGAUUCCGGAGGACUUUUGAUACAAUCAACAAAAUUUCAUCUCUACAUAGAAACAUCUGGAGAACCUAACCAUCUAUAUGGAAUGUAAGCUAUAGUCCUCCAUGAUAAUGUCUCUCCCUAUUUAGUCCCCUGUCAGAGAAAUCCACCAAAAUGGAUAGAUAAGAUCACAUCAUUCAGGUGUUCAAAACCUUCAACAACUCCCUACUGGCUACUAAAGUAAGGACAUGAAAACUGAAUGAAGUGGAUGGAUCAUGAGGAGAGGUGACAUGGUCCAGGAGAAAGAACAUGGGGAUGGCUCUUAAAUAUGUUUCAUCUUGAUUUCUCAUUUCUUGGAUUCAUUCUCCUUCUUACCUUAAACUAUUUAAAAAUCCAGUCUCCAUUUAAGCAAGAAACCAGUAAGAAACCAGAAGAAGGAAGUACAAUUGAAUGAAUGAAGGAAUAAAGUAAAACAAGGUAUGGCCUUGUGAUCCUAUCAGAGAUUGGAGCAGUGACCAGUCAUGACUACAUAAGAUGGAUGGAAGAAAGGAAGAGAGAUUGAGAUAAGAUUUGUGUCUGCAAAAAUAUUUUUAAAAGAGAACAGAAGACUGAACAGAAUCAAAGAUAAGCAGAACAGCUUUGAAAGUUACAUGAUGAAUUUAUUACAUACAUAAAAAGAAAACCACGUGCCCUCGGACAAGUCUCCAUUUCUCAUCUCUAUGUUGAAGAAGGCUGACGGCUAAUGACGUCUGAGGCCCCUUCCAGCACCUUCUUUCAAGUUCUACCACAUUGCCUCAUUUUGGC